UUUUCUUAACGUGACAAUGUUCCUAAACAACUAUCAUUUUCAGGAGGUGAAAACGCUAUUGAGACAGUUUCAA